rnacentral:rRNA from 1 species
UGUAAGCGUAUACCAAAGUUGUUGCAGUUAAAACGCUCGUAGUCGGAAUUUGGCAGUUCCGGAUGUGUGCACGUCGUGUGCGCACUUCGCGGGGAUUGCUUUUGUGGUCUUGCGUAGGAUGAGGCACUUUUAUUAGUGAACGUCCUCACGCAACCACUUUUUACUGUGAGAAAAUCAGAGUGCUCAAAGCAGGCAUUUGCCGUGAAUGUAUUAGCAUGGAAUAAUAGAAUAGGACUCGGUUCUAUUUUGUUGGUUUGUUGGGACUGAGUAAUGAUUAAGAGGGACAGUUGGGGGCAUUUGUAUUUCGGCGCCAGAGGUGAAAUUCUUAGAUUGCCGAAAGACAAACUGCUGCGAAAGCGUCUGCCAAGGAUGUUUUCAUUGA